rnacentral:tRNA from 1 species
CGGGGCGUGGCGCAGCCUGGUAGCGCACUGGCAUGGGGGGCCAGGGGUCAGCAGUUCGAAUCUGCUCGCCCCGA